UAAGGAAUAUUGGUCAAUGGACGCAAGUCUGAACCAGCCAUGCCGCGUGGAGGAUGAAGGUCCUCUGGAUUGUAAACUUCUUUUAUCUGGGACGAAACACUCCUAUUCUUAGGGGCCUGACGGUACCAGAUGAAUAAGCACCGGCUAACUCCGUGCCAGCAGCCGCGGUAAUACGGAGGGUGCGAGCGUUAUCCGGAUUUACUGGGUUUAAAGGGUGCGUAGGUGGGCUUAUAAGUCAGUGGUGAAAUCUCCGAGCUUAACUUGGAAACUGCCGUUGAUACUAUAGGUCUUGAAUUAUCUGGAGGUAAGCGGAAUAUGUCAUGUAGCGGUGAAAUGCUUAGAUAUGACAUAGAACACCAAUUGCGAAGGCAGCUUACUACAUAUAAAUUGACGCUGAGGCACGAAAGCGUGGGGAUCAAACA
rnacentral:rRNA from 1 species